GGUUACCUUCAAGAACCUGGAGAUCUGGACCUUUUCGGAGAAAUAAAAACCUGAACGUUUUAUUUAGAGAUUAAGGCCACGUGGGCCACCUCUUUGUGAAACUUCUACUGAAGAAACCCAAGGCAAAUCUGCUACUAAGAGUCAGACUGCCAUCCUGAAGGAAGAAGGAGCUGAAACCAACCUUUCCCAUAUUUUUGGGCCUGUUGGGUUUUAGAAUCCAGAUGUCACUAAGUUGAAACGGGUCCAAUUUCCAAGCUCGAAGUUGCCAUCUUAGCCAUAUUUACUCACAGCUGGUGAUUUAUGAACGCCUGGCAAAGCGGAAGGGAGAAAACAAUCCAAACAUCCAAGGCUUCACUGUGGUGGUCAACCUCUCCACCUUGUGAAUGGUUGACUCUGAGAAGAGUUACCGAACAGCCUCGCCUGGAUUUAAGGCAUCCUUUCAACAAAGAGGAGACCUUUCCUAAAUCUUCAACUCCACUAAAUCACCCCCCCCCCCAUAAAACAAGUGAAAACAAUGCAAGGCAAUCAAGGCACACGACUGGACUUUGCAUACUUACCGACCUCAUUCCCUCAAUUGCUUGCUUUUAGAUGGUUAAGGACCCUUGCAAAGAUAAAUCAGGUAGGUUGGAUUGGGAAAGGCAAAGGGGGAAAAGGGGGGAGGCUGGAAGGAAAGGAAGCGAGGGUGGGGUGUUUUUUUGGAAAGUCAAAGAGGAAGUUCCCUUUCACUUCGGAAAGAAUCACUCCUCCUAGUGAGAAGUGASGGCCGGAGAUCCAUUCCUGGAGAUCGACAUUAAUUAUUUAAUGAGACACGUGACACUUAUCCUCAAUAACCCCCCGCCACCCCACCCCAACACAACGGAUUAAAAUUUCAAUAACCCAGAACAGACGCCAACACCUUUAUCUCCCCUGGCAGCUCUUCUCUCUAGCUUGUUUAGGCCUCAUAACCUCUCCGGGUUUUGACAGCUUUUCAGUUUCUGGGGAGAUUGUUGGUGCAUUAAUAAGGAGGUCCUGUCAGGGCCUCCUAGAAUAAAAGAGCUCUCUGGUUCA